rnacentral:rRNA from 1 species
AUUGAACGCUGGCGGCAUGCUUUACACAUGCAAGUCGAACGGGGUGGAGGGGCAACUCUCCAUUCAGUGGCGAACGGGUGAGUAAUGCAUCGGAACGUGUCCCGUAGUGGGGGAUAACGCCGCGAAAGCGGCGCUAAUACCGCAUACGCUCUACGGAGGAAAGCAGGGGACCUGAAAGGGCCUUGUGCUAGGGGAGCGGCCGAUGUCCGAUUAGCUAGUUGGUGGGGUAACGGCCUACCAAGGCUGCGAUCGGUAGCUGGUCUGAGAGGAUGAUCAGCCACACUGGGACUGAGACACGGCCCAGACUCCUACGGGAGGCAGCAGUGGGGAAUUUUGGACAAUGGGGGCAACCCUGAUCCAGCCAUGCCGCGUGCGGGAAGAAGGCCUUCGGGUUGUAAACCGCUUUUAGCCGGGAAGAAAAGGCGCGGGCUAAUACCCCGUGUUUUUGACGGGUACCGGGCGGGAAUAAAGGCACCCGGCUAAACUUACGUUGCCCAGCCAAGCCGCGGUAAUACGUAGGGGUGCGAGCGUUAAAUCCGGAAUUACUGGGCGUAAAGCGUGCGCAGGCGGUUCGUUGUGUCGGUGGUGACAGCCCCGGGCU